rnacentral:lncRNA from 1 species
UGUGUAUAUAUAUUUAUUUAUUAAGUGCCUUUAAAUUUAUUUAUUUUGUACGUAUAACACUUAAGAAAUUGAAUAGUAUAUAUAUUUAUUAAGCAGCUUUAACCUUAUUUAUAUUUUAAAUUGUAAAAUAAAAUAAUUUUAUUUUUAUUAUUCAUAACAAUUAUUUUUAUAAAUAUUGUGCUACGAACCAAUUUUUCGUCUCUCAAAAGUUUGUGCGACCAACAGUUUGUCGCGCAAAACUCUAAAAAUUUGGACGGGUACCAAAAAUGGGACGCGGGAUUUUUUAAAAAAAAAAAAAAAUUUAGACUUUGCGCGACCAAUAUUUUUUGUCACUCAAAACUUUGCGCGACCAAUAUAUAUUUUUCGUCUCGCAAAAAUUUGGGCGGGUACCAAAAAUCGGACGCAGGAAUUUUUUUAGACUUUGCGCGACCAAUAUGUAUUUUUCGUCACGCAAAAAUUUAAAAAUUUUGGCGGGUACCAAAAAUGGGACGCGGGGAUUUUUAUUUUUUUAAAAUAAUUUUUUUUAGACUUUGCGCGACCAAUAUUCCUCUAUUCGUCCCGCAAAACUUUGCGCGACCAAUAUGUUUCGUCGCGCAAAAGUUUGCCCGACCAAUAUUCAUUUUCGUCGCGCAAACCUUUGCGCGACCAACAGUAUUUUUCGUCGCGCAAAGUGAUACGGUUUUUAAAACCGAAAUAACUCCUCCACCAUUUUCUCAAUGUCUUUCUCUACUCUUACCUCUCCUUUCUCUUUCCCUUUCCCCAAAUCCCACCAUUUCUCUCACUCACUCCUCUCACUUAAUCUCUCAUCUCUCUCUUCACUAUCUCUCACUCUCUCUCACUCACUCUCUCAUCUCUCUCACUCACUCACUCUCUCAUCUCUCUAUCACUAUCUUCUCUAAUUCUCUCACACUCACUUCUCCCUCUCAUUCUCACUCACUCUCAAUCUUGCCAAAAGGUAUAUUCUCUCCAAAUUUUAAUUUUUUUUCAUUAAUAUGUGUUUUUGGAGUUAAUUUUGAGUUUGUGUGGGUUUUGGGGUUGAGUAAAGGGGAGGGAUUGGAGUUUGGGUUGGAUUUGUGGUAUAACAAUUUUAGGGGAGAUUAUGCCUUCUUUUUUUUUUUGGUUAUUUGACCAUAUUUAUUUUUUUUGUAGGGAAUCAUCGAGACUUUAACGGCUAAAGUUGAGGAUUAGGAAGCUAUCAAAACAUAUCCUCCGCCACUACCACCACAGUACGCUUGUAUUAGGAUUUUAUUAUUGUACUUUGUUAAUUUAUGUGUAUAUUUUGAAUAUUAUAUAUAUUUAUUGGAUAAUUUGAUCACUAUUUUUCAUAUGUAAUUUUAUUUUGAAUAUGUCAAUUUAAAUUAAAGUAAUUAAAAAAAUCAUACAAUUAAAUUAAAUUUAAAAAGUAAAAACUUGAAAAAAUUAAUAUCAAUUUAAAUUAAAGUAAUUUUAAAAAGAAAUCAUACAAUUAAAUUAAAUUUAAAAAAUAAAAAUUUGAAUAAAUUAAUUAAUAUUAAUUAAUAUUAAAGAAAUAAUAAAACAAAAAGUCAAAAACCUUGCGCGAUAAAAUAUUUCGUAGCGCAAACUAUUAAAUUAGUUUAUUUUAAAUUAAAAAAAUUUAAAACAAAAAAUAUUUCGUCGCGCAAAUAUUUGCGCGACGUUAGUAUUCGUCGAGCAAAGCUCAAAAAAUUUGGGCGGGUACCAAAAAUUGUACCCGGGAAUUUGUUAUUUUUUUAAAAAUUUUUUUAAGACUUUGCGCGACCAAUGUAUUUCGUCGAGCACAACUUUGCGCUACAUAUUUUUCGUCGGCGCAAAGCACUUUGCGCGACCAAUGUAUUUNNNNNNNNNNNNNNNNNNNNNNNNNNNNNNNNNNNNNNNNNNNNNNNNNNNNNNNNNNNNNNNNNNNNNNNNNNNNNNNNNNNNNNNNNNNNNNNNNNNNGCAAAUUCUCUUGACGCUUUGCUUGAAGAAUGUCGUACUAGAGCCAUUCUCGUCGCACCAAUUACAGCUCGUCAUGAAAUUCGUCGCGCCGCGCGUCCAAUCUUUUUUAUCGCAAAAAGACUUUGCGCGACCAAUAUUUUUUCGUCGCGCAAAGUCGCUUUGCGUGACCAAUGAAAAAACUUCGUCGCGCAAAGUCUUUCUUCACGAUCUUUGCGCGACGGAUUCUGCGCGACGAAAUUUAUGUCGCGCUGAAAUUUGUGCGACUACAAUGUAUUUUGCGCGACGAAAUUCUCUUCGUCGCGCAAAGUGUAAAAUGUAGUAGUGUUCAACUGGUCCAUGCAGAUAUUUGUGGACCUAUCUCACCGGCAUCAAACAGUGGCAAAAGGCAUGUAAUCACUUUCAUUGAUGAUUACAGUAGAAAGACCUGGGCAUAUUUCUUAUCUGAAAAAUCUGAAGCAUUAGCUAUGUUUAAGAAGUAUAAGUUGUUUGUGGAAAAGGAGAGUGGUUAUGUGAUUUGCUGUUUAAGAACCGAUAGAGGUGGCGAGUUCACCUCACUCGAGUUCA